GGACUACCAGGGUAUCUAAUCCUGUUUGAUCCCCACACUUUCGUGCCUCAGCGUCAGUUACAGCCUAGUAAGCUGCCUUCGCUAUCGGUGUUCUUGACGAUAUCUAAGCAUUUCACCGCUACACCGUCAAUUCCGCCUACCUCGUCUGUACUCAAGUCUCACAGUAUCAAUGGCACCUCGACAGUUGAGCUGCCAUAUUUCACCACUGACUUAUGAAACCGCCUACGCACCCUUUAAACCCAAUAAAUCCGGACAACGCUUGCCACCUACGUAUUACCGCGGCGGCUGGCAC
rnacentral:rRNA from 1 species